GAUGAACGCUGGCGGCGUGCCUAAUACAUGCAAGUCGAGCGAACAGACGAGGAGCUUGCUCCUCUGACGUUAGCGGCGGACGGGUGAGUAACACGUGGAUAACCUACCUAUCAGCCUGGUAUAACUUCGGGACACCGGAGCUUAUCCCGUAUAAUAUAUUGAACCGCAUGGUUCAAUAGUGAAAGACGGUUUUGCUGUCACUUAUAGAUGGAUCCGCGCCGCAUUAGCUAGUUGGUAAGGUAACGGCUUACCAAGGCAACGAUGCGUAGCCGAACUGAGAGGGUGAUCGGCCACACUGGAACUGGGACACGGACCAUACUCCUACGGGACGCACCAGUAGGGAAUCUUCCGCAAUGGGCGAAAGCAUGACGGAGCAACGCCGCGUGUGUGAUGGAGGUCUCCGGAUCGUAAAACUCUGUUAUUAGUUAAGAACAAAUGUGUAAGUAACUAUGCACGUCUUGACGGUACCUAGUCAGAAAGCCACGGCUAACUACGUG
rnacentral:rRNA from 1 species